CAUGCAAGUCGAACGAGCGAGAGAGAGCUUGCUUUCUCGAGCGAGUGGCGAACGGGUGAGUAACGCGUGAGGAACCUGCCUCAAAGAGGGGGACAACAGUUGGAAACGACUGCUAAUACCGCAUAAGCCCACGGGUCGGCAUCGACCAGAGGGAAAAGGAGCAAUCCGCUUUGAGAUGGCCUCGCGUCCGAUUAGCUGGUUGGUGAGGUAACGGCCCACCAAGGCGACGAUCGGUAGCCGGACUGAGAGGUUGAACGGCCACAUUGGGACUGAGACACGGCCCAGACUCCUACGGGAGGCAGCAGUGGGGAAUAUUGCACAAUGGGGGAAACCCUGAUGCAGCGACGCCGCGUGGAGGAAGAAGGUCUUCGGAUUGUAAACUCCUGUUGUUGGGGAAGAUAAUGACGGUACCCAACAAGGAAGUGACGGCUAACUACGUGCCAGCAGCCGCGGUAAAACGUAGGUCACAAGCGUUGUCCGGAAUUACUGGGUGUAAAGGGAGCGCAGGCGGGAAGACAAGUUGGAAGUGAAAUCCAUGGGCUCAACCCAUGAACUGCUUUCAAAACUGUUUUUCUUGAGUAGUGCAGAGGUAGGCGGAAUUCCCGGUGUAGCGGUGGAAUGCGUAGAUAUCGGGAGGAACACCAGUGGCGAAGGCGGCCUACUGGGCACCAACUGACGCUGAGGCUCGAAAGUGUGGGUAGCAAACAGGAUUAGAUACCCUGGUAGUCCACACCGUAAACGAUGAUUACUAGGUGUUGGAGGAUUGACCCCUUCAGUGCCGCAGUUAACACAAUAAGUAAUCCACCUGGG
rnacentral:rRNA from 1 species